rnacentral:lncRNA from 1 species
GCACUUUCCACUUUAUAAUCUUAUUUUUUGUUAAUCUCGUUUCCUUGUUCUAGUGAAAAAUUUUUUUAUAUUUUUCGUGCCUGACAUGGUGGGGGCGGUUCGAUAAGUAUUUGUUCAAAGAAAGUACAGCUAACUCUGCGAUGUGGGGUACUUAGAUGAGAAAACCGAGAUGCACUGAGGUUAAGUGACAAGACGAAGGUCCUCUAGCUAAUGACUCAGCUUAUUCUAUAGCCUCAAUCCCUUUCCCAACCACCAGACUGCCUUCUACUCUGAGCUGUCUAAGUCCUCUUCUUCUGUCCAUCAUGUCACUGGCUGAUGCGGAAGGGUUUGGGCUCGUCAUCAGAACUGGGAUAAAGGAUCCUAGCUGAGCCAUUCCUGAUGCUCCGAUUAAUGCACGCCUCAACAAACAUGCCACCAUCCAGAGGCCACCUGAAAGGAUGUUGAAACUGCAAGCACCACGAAUGACCUCUUUGGAGCUGGCAGAGAUAAGUAUCGACAGUUCCAGGAUUGGAAACACUCNNNNNNNNNNNNNNNNNNNNNNNNGGGGGUCUCUGCCAGGAUUCAUCCACUACCACAUGAGGUCUCGGAGGAUACUGCUUAUGGAGGGGAAUCUCGAAAACAACGAAGUAAAUGUGAGGUCGAAUAGUAAAAGUAAAAUAAACAUUUGUUAUACUGAAGUAAAUUUUUUUAAAAGAUUUUAUUUAUUUAUUUGAGAGAGAGUGAGAGAGAGCACGAGCAGGGAGAGGGGUAGAGGCAGAGGGAGAAGCAGACUCACCACUGAGCAGGGAGCCCGAUGGGAGGGCUGAUCCCAGGACCCUGGGAUCAUGACCUGAGCUGAAGCAAGACGCUUCACUGACUGAGCCACCCAGGCGCCCUGAAGUGAAUUUAAAAAUGCAGAUAAAGCAAGGGAAUUGAUGGCAGUCUGUGAGAUAACAGAUGGUUACAUUCACCCCUGAAAAUUAAUAAUUCUAUUAGUGAUUGAAGGGCAGUUAGAAUACUGAUAAUUGAGGGGCAAAAAAUGUGAUGAGGGAAAGAAAGCAACGGAAAUGUCCUCCAGUUUUUCUGGACCCUUACAGGAUAACCCUGAUGAAUGAAGUGACUGCCUCUGGUGUGGCCUGUGCCAUCAUUCUGAUUUUGUCCAGGCUAACAGGAAAUAGAAAUCAUUGUGCUUCUUCUUCUUUUCUUUUUUUUUUUUUAGGCCAAAUGCAGUGCUCUGUUGUUCAACUAAGCAUCUUAUUAAGAUAAAAAAGGAGUUUCUUGGUGUUUUUUGGUUGUUUGUAUUUUGUUUUUUGCUUUAAAUUUUAAACAGACCUGUUUGAGAUACAUGCUCCUUAUAGUAAUUUUACUAAUUUUUUUUCUAAAUAAAAAAUGAGAGAUGAUCUCUCUUAUGUGAAAC